rnacentral:rRNA from 1 species
UACAGAGGUCUCAAGCGUUUGUUCGGAUUCAUUGGGCGUAAAGGGUGCGUAGGUGGCGCGGUAAGUCGGGUGUGAAAUUUCGGAGCUUAACUCCGAAACUGCAUUCGAUACUGCGGUGCUUGAGGACUGGAGAGGAGACUGGAAUUCAUGGUGUAGCAGUGAAAUGCGUAGAGAUCAUGAGGAAGACCAGUGGCGAAGGCGGGUCUCUGGACAGUUCCUGACACUGAGACACGAAGGCCAGGGGAGCAAACGGG